rnacentral:tRNA from 15 species
GCGGGCGUAGCUCAGGGGUAGAGCAUCACCUUGCCAAGGUGAGGGUCGUGAGUUCGAAUCUCAUCGCCCGCUCCA